GACGAACGCUGGCGGCGUGCCUAAUACAUGCAAGUCGAACGCAGUGGGGACGGGUGAGUAACACGUGGGUAACCUCCCAUCAGAGGGGAUAACACUUGGAUACAGGUGCUAAACCGAUACUGAUGGAUGGACCCGCGGUGCAUUAGCUAGUUGGUGAGGUAACGGCUCACCAAGGACACGCUGCAUAGCCGACCUGCGAGGGGUAUCGGGCCCCCUGGGACUGAGACACGGCCCAGAUUCCGACGGUAGGCAGCAGGAGGGAAUCUUCGGCAAUGGACGAAAGUCUGACCGCGCAACGCCGCGUUAGUGAAGAAGGUUUUCGGAUCGUAAAACUCUGUUGUUAGAGAAGCGGUAUCUAACCAGAAAGCCACGGCUAACUACGUGCCAGCCGCCGCGGUAAUAC
rnacentral:rRNA from 1 species